CCUACGGGUGGCAGCAGUGAGGAAUAUUGGUCAAUGGACGAGAGUCUGAACCAGCCAAGUAGCGUGAAGGAUGACUGCCCUAUGGGUUGUAAACUUCUUUUAUAUGGGAAUAAAACGUUCCACGUGUGGGAUUUUGUAUGUACCAUAUGAAUAAGGAUCGGCUAACUCCGUGCCAGCAGCCGCGGUAAUACGGAGGAUCCGAGCGUUAUCCGGAUUUAUUGGGUUUAAAGGGAGCGUAGGUGGAUUGUUAAGUCAGUUGUGAAAGUUUGCGGCUCAACCGUAAAAUUGCAGUUGACACUGGCAGUCUUGAGUACAGUAGAGGUGGGCGGAAUUCGUGGUGUAGCGGUGAAAUGCUUAGAUAUCACGAAGAACUCCGAUUGCGAAGGCAGUUCACUGGACUGCAACUGACACUGAGGCUCGAAAGUGUGGGUAUCAAACAGGAUUAGAUACCCUUGUAGUC
rnacentral:rRNA from 1 species